rnacentral:rRNA from 1 species
AUUGAACGCUGGCGGCAUGCUUUACACAUGCAAGUCGAACGGCAGCGCGUGCUUGGGCGUUGCCGCGUGGCGCGAACGGGAGUAUUAUGCAUCAGAGCGUGCCCAGGAGGGGGGUAUAGCCCGGCGAGAUCCGGUUUAAUACCGCAUGCUACCUGGAGGAGAGAGCGGGGGAGCGAGAGCCCGCGCGCUAUGGGAGCGGGCGAUGUCGGAUUAGCUAGUUGGUGGGGUAAAGGCUUACCAAGGCGACGAUCUGUAGCUGGUCUGAGAGGACGACCAGCCACACUGGGACUGAGACACGGCCCAGACUCCUACGGGAGGCAGCAGUGGGGAAUUUUGGACAAUGGGGGAAAGCCUGAUCCAGCAAUGCCGCGUGCAGGAAGAAGGCCUUCGGGUUGUAAACUGCUUUUGUUCGGGACGAAAUGCUCUGGGCUAAUACCCCGGGCACAUGACGGUACCGGAAGAAUAAGCACCGGCUAACUACGUG